GGGUUGUGAGGUUAAGCGACUAAGCGUACACGGUGGAUGCCCUGGCAGUCAGAGGCGAUGAAGGGCGUGCUAAUCUGCGAUAAGCGCCGGUAAGGUGAUAUGAACCGUUAUAACCGGCGAUACCCGAAUGGGGAAACCCAGUGUGAUUCGUCACACUAUCAUUAACUGAAUCCAUAGGUUAAUGAGGCGAACCGGGGGAACUGAAACAUCUAAGUACCCCGAGGAAAAGAAAUCAACCGAGAUUCCCCCAGUAGCGGCGAGCGAACGGGGAGGAGCCCAGAGCCUGAAUCAGCAUGUGUGUUAGUGGAAGCGUCUGGAAAGGCGCGCGAUACAGGGUGACAGCCCCGUACACAAAAGCGUAUGUGCUGUGAGCUCGAUGAGUAGGGCGGGACACGUGGUAUCCUGUCUGAAUAUGGGGGGACCAUCCUCCAAGGCUAAAUACUCCUGACUGACCGAUAGUGAACCAGUACCGUGAGGGAAAGGCGAAAAGAACCCCGGCGAGGGGAGUGAAAAAGAACCUGAAACCGUGUACGUACAAGCAGUGG
rnacentral:rRNA from 2 species